AGGCAGAGAGCGUGACUUUAGGUUUGGUGCAGCCCCAGGCACGUUCUGGUCACCCGUCAGGUCCAUCAUACCAACCACCAGCACUUGGAAGGUCUUCUAAUGAGUCAAACUUUCAGCAGAUCCUCCUGAGGCUCUGGGGCUGUGAAUGCUUCAAGGUAUCUCUUGGUCACAAUGAAAAGCUGUCACCAUGCACCUCUGGACUACCAAGAGGCUGAUGGGAUGGCCUGACCUGCUGUCCAGCUCCACUGGUGGCACAGCCAUGACCUCCAGUGACCAUCAGAGGCACCUCAGCAGCACUGGUGAGAGGGACAGCAGCUCCUCUGGGCCUGUCUGAUAGAUGGAUGCUGCACAGAAAUGAGAGCUGGUCUGAAUUCCAGCCUCCUGGUUCCCUCCCUUCAAAGCCCUGUCUGUGUUGAAGAAUGGAGGUGGCACAUCUUGGCCAGACCCAAAGGAGGGCAUGGAGGGGCUUUGUCGCUUAUUUUGCUGCAGAGGAGUUUGAAGUUCUCCAUUUCCUGGGUGUGCUACAGGAGCAGCAGAGUUGAGACACAGGCUUUUAAUGAAGUUUAUGUAAAUUUGGUGGUGUUUAUACUUAGCAGAACAGAUUUAGGAGUACUAAUAAAGCAG